rnacentral:rRNA from 1 species
GACGAACGCUGGCGGCAUGCCUAAUACAUGCAAGUCGAACGAGUGGCGGACUGGUUAGUAAAACGUGUGAACCUACGCAUCAGAGGGGGAUAACACUGGGAAACAGGUACUACUACCGCAUACUGAUGGAUGGACACGCGGUUCAUUAGCUAGUUGGUGGGGUAACGGCUCACCAGGUCUACGAUGCAUAGCUGGGCGGAGAGGGUGACCAGCCACACUGGCACUGAGACACGGGCCAGACUCCUACGGGAGGCAGCAGUGGGGAAUAUUGCGCAAUGGGCGCAAGCCUGACGCAGCAAUGCCGCGUGUGUGAAGAAGGCCUUCGGGUUGUAAAGCUCUGUCGGCGGGGAAGCGUUACCCGCAGAAGAAGCACCGGCUAACUCCGUGCCAGCAGCCGCGGUAAUAC